CACAUGCUGCUGACUAGCAAAUUGUCUUCAAUUCAUCUUCCAUUUGAUACAUUCCAACGUCCUGUUACAAAACUGCCGCUAACAUCUAUUUGAAUGGAGGAUGGAGCACGAGGCUGAAACUUGUCCGAUAUAACCCAGAUGGCUGGCAAGUCUUCAGUGCCCUCCAUGAGUUCUUGUAUAUCCUCAUCUCUCACCAUGGCCUCCAGCUCAGGCAUUGCCUCUGGAAUCCAGUCUGCCCUAAACUUAUCCCGCCUUUCCCAGAGAGUCUCCGGCUCUUCCACAGGCUGCUCUCCAAACAGGAAAUCUACAGACACAGUACAGCCUUUUUCUGCGGUUUGGUCCAGCCUUUUCUUCAGAACGUGGUCAUCUCUCCUCCCCCCAAACUCAGAUGAGGGCUUAAAUAUCCUCAGACUUUGCUGAGCACAACAUUC